rnacentral:rRNA from 1 species
CCUACGGGAGGCAGCAGUGAGGAAUAUUGGUCAAUGGGCGCGAGCCUGAACCAGCCAAGUCGCGUGAGGGAAGACGGUCCUAUGGAUUGUAAACCUCUUUUGUCGGGGAGCAAAAGACGCCACGCGUGGCGUUCCGAGAGUACCCGACGAACAAGCAUCGGCUAACUCCGUGCCAGCAGCCGCGGUAAUACGGAGGAUGCGAGCGUUAUCCGGAUUUAUUGGGUUUAAAGGGUGCGUAGGCGGAACAUUAAGUCAGCGGUAAAUCCGAGGGGCUCAACCCCUUUAAGCCGUUGAAACUGGUGAGCUGGAGUGGGCGAGAAGUAGGCGGAAUGCGUGGUGUAGCGGUGAAAUGCAUAGAUAUCACGCAGAACUCCGAUUGCGAAGGCAGCAUACCGGCGCCCGACUGACGCUGAGGCACGAAAGCGUGGGUAUCGAACAGGAUUAGAUACCCGAGUAGUC